rnacentral:rRNA from 1 species
GUCCCAAACCCAAUGUGAACGUUACCAAACUGUUGCCUCGGCGGGAUCUCUGCCCCGGGUGCGUYGCAGCCCCGGACCAAGGCGCCCGCCGGAGGACCAACCAAAACUCUUAUUGUAUACCCCCUCGCGGGUUUUUUUAUAAUCUGAGCCUUCUCGGCGCCUCUCGUAGGCGUUUCGAAAAUGAAUCAAAACUUUCAACAACGGAUCUCUUGGUUCUGGCAUCGAUGAAGAACGCAGCGAAAUGCGAUAAGUAAUGUGAAUUGCAGAAUUCAGUGAAUCAUCGAAUCUUUGAACGCACAUUGCGCCCGCCAGUAUUCUGGCGGGCAUGCCUGUCCGAGCGUCAUUUCAACCCUCGAACCCCUCCGGGGGGUCGGCGUUGGGGAUCGGCCCUGCCUUGGCGGUGGCCGUCUCCGAAAUACAGUGGCGGUCUCGCCGCAGCCUCUCCUGCGCAGUAGUUUGCACACUCGCAUCGGGAGCGCGGCGCGUCCACAGCCGUUAAACACCCAACUUCUGAAAUGUUGACCUCGGAUCAGGUAGGAAUACCCGCUGAACUUAAGCAUAUCAAUAAGGCGRAGGAA